ACAACGAAGAGAAGGAGAGUGGAAGCGUGCACGCAAAAAGAGCAAGUUUUGAAGUUUUAAACGCAAAUGCAUGGUGUUUGUUUGUUAUUUGUUUGUUUACGGGACAAGGUCCCCACGUUCCCCCGCUGAGGACGUCAUUUGUUCUUGGUGCAAGCACGAGAGGGGGAAAAUCCCCAAGUAUAACAAGAGACGAACAGUUAGUGCUGAUUUUCAUUUGCAUAAAUUUUCAUAUAUUUUAGUGAAAAUAAUAGCGGUGCCGAGGAGAGCUCUCCGCUCAGUCGAGGCAGAGCGAAAAUCUUAGGAAGGACCAGAUCGGAGGGAGAGUACACGCUCACUAACCGAGAUGUGAAAAAAAAAAAAAAAAAAAAAACAUUUGAGACUUUUUUUUGGGGAGAAUCUGGAUUGGAUGCUCACGGACAGGACUGCCCUCCUUCGCUCCCUCCCUCCACUCGUCCUCGUCUCUCCAUCUCUCGCCUUCCUUCAGGGACUGGGGCCUCUAUUGGGACCUAGACUUACACUACAACCAAGGGACCAGUGCCAUGGCCAUGCUGCAAAUACAUACACACACAUAAAACACACAUGCAUGCAUAAUUUCUCUCUCUCAUACACACACACACACACACACACACACACACACACACAUCCACACACACACACUUCCGUUUUCAGCUCACACUAGCACUGCAGCCCUUCUCCUGCUGGCUAUUUUUCUUUGAGAGACUAUAAAAAAUAUGCAAAUGUUAUUGUUAAAGAAGAAAGCAAAGGCGUUUGUUUCUCCACGCUUGUAGAGCGCAAAGAAGGCGAAAGAAAGGACCUCACAUUUGUCUCUUUAUGAAGACGGACAGAGAAAGAGGGAAUAUGCACAUUAGAUGACCAGGUAGGAUAUUAAAAUUAGCUCCCAAAAGCAGCCGUUGCUAGUUAUUAUAGUCAGGCUGGUGUCAAGAGUGCCGCUCUGGGGCUCUCUUUCAUCAUGGACGGCAGGCCUUAAACACAUGGCAUCAAGCGCUUAAAGAUUGCAGAAAGUACGGAGGCACAUUUGCAAAGCCCUCAUGGUGCCAUCUACACUUUUUGAAGUGAUUACGGAGACAGCUCAGAUCAAAGGCUCUGACAACUCAGAGUGCCCGCCAAGACUGAGCCGCACUAAUCGUGCUGAAGACUCGGGCAACAAUGCAACACACGCAUAAAAAGAUUAUCAGGAGACAGAAAAACGUCUGGGGAAGUAAAUACGGGAUUAGAUAUUUUUUUUUUCAAUUCAACAGCACUGAUAAAGUGGAUGAGAUCAGCAAAACACUGAUAGAUAAAUAUUAAUUAUCAGAGGUUGGGAAAAAAUGAUGGAAGAACAUUUUUCCAAAUAAAUGUUUCACAUUUAGCAAGAGAUUAAGUGCUGAUGAAGGGCUCAGUCUAACUCAGCUACAUGUAAGGCCUAGUAGUCAAAAUUGGUUGGUUUGUUUCUAUUUUAAAAAAUUCCUCCUACAACUUCUUUAUAUAGUAUAUUCAGAUCACAUACUUUUACAUGAUUACAUUAGAUUAAGCACAGAGUGUUCAUUUCCUAUGGCUCGACAUAAUACCUGGAAGAGAAGCAUGUGUUUUUUUUUAUGGUUUUAUUUUAUUUAUGCCGUUCCAUUUUCAUUCCUUUUGACUAUAACUGAAUUACUCAGAGUAAAACAUGCUCAAUGGCUGCAAUAACACUUCAAGACCGUGCAUGACUGUUACAUUUAUAGUUUCUAAAGCAGUAAUAUCAGAAUAUAGAUCAAAUUUUCCAUAUUAUGCAGGACAGAUACAUAAAUACAGAAAUAAAUGUAUAUGUACAGUAUAUUAACAGUAAUAAUAAUAAUAAUACAGUCUAAUUUUUCCUUUACUGUAACUGCGUCAACACAGAGACUGGCAACUGCAGGUGAAACCUUCAAGGACAAAAUCCCACCUGACCUCUCUGUCAUGUCUUGUGCAAUGCUUUCCAACAUUUCUUUCCUGCCGUUUUUUCGUAUAGUUCCUUUUGUGGACUUUGUAAUCUGUGUACACAGUGCUGGUGCGUGAACAAUAAAGGUUCUGUGAGCUCAA